GACGAACGCUGGCGGCGUGCUUAACACAUGCAAGUCGAGCGGAGCGGCGAACGGGUGAGUAACGCGUGAGUAACUGCCCCCCUCUAUGGGAUAACAGUUGGAAACGGCUGCUAAUACCGGAUAGUGGGGGAUGACUCGCGUCCUAUCGGCUUGUUGGGUGGGUAGUGGCCUACCAAGGCGACGACGGGUAGCCGGCCUGAGAGGGGGACCGGCCACAUUGGGCUGAGCUACGGCCCAAACGCCAACGGGAGGCAGAAGUGGGGAAUAUUGCACAAUGGGGGAAACCCUGAUGCAGCAACGCCGGGUGCGGGAUGACGGCCGUCGGGUUGUCAACCGCUUUCAGCCAUGACGCGGUAGUGGCAGAAGAAGCACCGGCUAACUACGUGCCAGCUGCCGCGGUAAUUC
rnacentral:rRNA from 1 species